AUCCAACUGACUAGUUCCAUAUAAGACGAAACGCGCAUCUUGGAU
rfam:Schistosoma mansoni strain Puerto Rico chromosome 6, complete genome